rnacentral:rRNA from 1 species
AACGAACGCUGGCGGCGUGCUUAACACAUGCAAGUCGAACGGAAAGGCCCUGCUUUUGUGGGGUGCUCGAGUGGCGAACGGGUGAGUAACACGUGAGUAACCUGCCCUUGACUUUGGGAUAACUUCAGGAAGCUGGGGCUAAUACCGGAUAGGAGCUCCUGCUGCAUGGUGGGGGGUGGAAAGUUUCGGCGGUUGGGGAUGGACUCGCGGCUUAUCAGCUUGUUGGUGGGGUAGUGGCUUACCAAGGCUUGGACGGGUAGCCGGCCUGGGAGGGUGACCGGCCACAUUGGGACUGAGAUACGGCCCAGACUCCUACGGGAGGCAGCAGUGGGGAAUAUUGCACAGUGGGCGGAAGCCUGAUGCAGCAGCGCCGCGUGCGGGAUGACGGCCUUCGGGUUGUAAACCGCAUUCGCCUGUGACGACGCGUGAGUGACGGUAAUGGGUAAAGAAGCACCGGCUAACUUCGUG